rnacentral:rRNA from 1 species
AGCGAACGCUGGCGGCAGGCCUAACACAUGCAAGUCGAACGAACUCUUCGGAGUUAGUGGCGGACGGGUGAGUAACACGUGGGAACGUGCCUUUUGGUUCGGAAUAACUCAGGGAAACUUGUGCUAAUACCGAAUGUGCCCUUCGGGGGAAAGAUUUAUCGCCAUUAGAGCGGCCCGCGUCUGAUUAGCUAGUUGGUGAGGUAACGGCUCACCAAGGCGACGAUCAGUAGCUGGUCUGAGAGGAUGACCAGCCACACUGGGACUGAGACACGGCCCAGACUCCUACGGGAGGCAGCAGUGGGGAAUCUUGCGGAAUGGGCGAAAGCCUGACGCAGCCAUGCCGCGUGAAUGAUGAAGGUGUUAGGAUUGUAAAAUUCUUUCACCGGGGACGAUAAUGACGGUACCCGGAGAAGAAGCCCCGGCUAACUUCGUG